GUCGACACUCGUCCCCUAUUUACGAACCAUGCUUACUCCAAAAUGAACUUAACAAGUGCAUAUGGCACAUAUAUCCUGAAAAUUAUUUUACCAUGACUGAAAUAAGCACACAACAUAUCUGUUUGGCAACUAACCUCCCUACAAAGAUAAUUACUAGUAAUACAAGUAUUAAUCUACCUCUCCCCUUUUCAGGAUGUUUGACUAAUGUUACCUGGUUAGAUCUUAAUGGCACCCAAUAUUAUUUCAGCGACACAAUCACUUUAGACAAACAUAUUAAUGCCCUAUUAGGCUCUCUGCCUUUUAAAGAUUACCAUUUACCUCUUGAGACUAUUGUCUCCUUAAUGAAAGGAAAACAAAAUAUGUUUAAACAUCUUGUUACACAUAAUGAUGCUAUAGUACACACACAGGUAGCCACACAUAUCCUAAAAGGAGAACUCCUUAAGGUGAGUUCACAAAUUCAG